UGAGGAAUAUUGGUCAAUGGGCGAGAGCCUGAACCAGCCAAGUCGCGUGAAGGAAGACAGUCCUAAGGAUUGUAAACUUCUUUUAUACGGGAAUAACGGGCGAUACGAGUAUUGCAUUGAAUGUACCGUAAGAAUAAGCAUCGGCUAACUCCGUGCCAGCAGCCGCGGUAAUACGGAGGAUGCGAGCGUUAUCCGGAUUUAUUGGGUUUAAAGGGUGCGUAGGUUGUUCGGUAAGUCAGCGGUGAAACCUGAGCGCUCAACGUUCAGCCUGCCGUUGAAACUGCCGGGCUUGAGUUCAGUGGCGGCAGGCGGAAUUCGUGGUGCAGCGGUGAAAUGCAUAGAUAUCACGAGGAACUCCGAUUGCGAAGGCAGCUUGCCAUACUGCGACUGACACUGAAGCACGAAGGCGUGGGUAUCAAACAGGAUUAGAUACCCUGGUAGUCCACGCAGUAAACGAUGAUUACUAGGAGUUUGCGAUAUACCGUCAAGCUUCCACAGCGAAAGCGUUAAGUAAUCCACCUGGGGAGUACGCCGGCAACGGUG
rnacentral:rRNA from 1 species